rnacentral:rRNA from 1 species
CACGAACGCUGGCGGCAUGCCUAACACAUGCAAGUCGAACGAGACCUUCGGGUCUAGUGGCGCACGGGUGCGUAACGCGUGGGAUCCUGCCCUUAGGUUCGGAAUAACUCCCCGAAAGGGGUGCUAAUACCGGAUAAUGUCUUCGGACCAAAGAUUUAUCGCCUUUGGAUGGGCCCGCGUUGGAUUAGCUAGUUGGUAGGGUAAAAGCCUACCAAGGCGACGAUCCAUAGCUGGUCUGAGAGGAUGAUCAGCCACACUGGGACUGAGACACGGCCCAGACUCCUACGGGAGGCAGCAGUGGGGAAUAUUGGACAAUGGGCGAAAGCCUGAUCCAGCAAUGCCGCGUGAGUGAUGAAGGCCUUAGGGUUGUAAAGCUCUUUUACCCGGGAUGAUAAUGACAGUACCGGGAGAAUAAGCUCCGGCUAACUCCGUG